UCCUGGGACAGGUAUCUAUGUGUGUGCAUU
rnacentral:piRNA from 1 species